rnacentral:misc_RNA from 1 species
UUUUUUUUUUUUUUUUUUUUCCUUAUUAGGGAUAAGAUAAAUAUUGAUCAGUAUCAUCUUCUCAACUCAGAAAACAUUCUCGGCUGAAAAGAAAAUAGCCAUAUAAAUUUAUUGGACUGCAUGAAAGGGUUUGAGCUCCUAUAGUGGCAGAUCCAGAAAAAACUUAUUGGUGGAAGCAAAGCACAUACACAUAUAUAUAUUGAUGUACUGAAAAAAUUAUUUGAUUUAAACGAAGGCAUAUUUAAAAUAUAGUGGGGCCAAAGCACGUAAAUAUAUAUUGAUGUACUAAAAAAUUAUUAUUAUUUGAUUUAAAUGGGAAUUUAAUGGUAGCAAUUUCAUAGAAAUAAAAAUUAUACAUAAAUUUUAUAUAAACAAUGGGACAAUUAGGCUAAUUGAUUGGGGGUGAUUCCUGAAAAAUAAAGGAUUUAUCGGAGAAUUUGUAAAGGAAGAGUGGGGGGCAGUGGGCUAAAUCCAUUGCUGAGUAGUGAGCACUUGAGCUCAUAAAAUCUAAUAGAAAUAAAUAGAUCAAAGUUCAGUUUUGGGCUAUUAGCUUAGACAACAUAAAUUCAGAGUAAGAAUUUGAAGCAACAUGCCAGAAAAUGAAGCCAGAUUUUCACCUCAAGGAAAUCAUGGUUGGAGA